rnacentral:rRNA from 1 species
UACAGAGGUCUCAAGCGUUGUUCGGAUUCAUUGGGCGUAAAGGGUGCGUAGGCGGUAGGGUAAGUCUGGUGUGAAAUCCUGGAGCUUAACUUCAGAAAUGCACUGGAUACUGCCCUGCUAGAGGACUGGAGAGGAGAUUGGAAUUCACGGUGUAGCAGUGAAAUGCGUAGAGAUCAUGAGGAAGACCAGUGGCGAAGGCGGGUCUCUGGACAGUUCCUGACACUGAGACACGAAGGCCAGGGGAGCAAACGGG